rnacentral:sRNA from 1 species
CGCGGCCGGGGCAGUCCCGCAGCCGAGCGCAGCCGGGCGCGCGCCACCGCCCACUCGCCCUGUGCCCGCCGCAGCCCGAAACUGGCCACGGCCGGGAGCGGAGGGGACAGCGGGGAUCGUGAGCUCCGGCCCGAGCGAGCGGGUGCGUCUGCCGCGGAGUCGGCACCUGAAGGACAUGGAGACAGGGUCUUGCUCUGUUGCCCAGGCUGGAGUGCAGUGGCACAAUCAUGGCUCACUGCAGCCUCAACCCUCCAGGGCUUAAGUGAUCCUCUCACCUCAUCCUCCUGAGUAGCUGGGACUAUAGGCGUGCACCACCACGCCCAGAGACGCACCAAGACGCUACCAAAUGCAAAUUAAUAAGACCAAUCCUGGCCGGGUGCAAUGGCUCACUCCUGUAAUCUCAGCACUUUGGGAGGCCGAGGCAGGUGGAUCACAGAAGGUCGGGAGUUUGAGACCACCCUGACCAACAUGAAGAAACCCCGUCUCUACUAAAAAUACAAAAUUAGCCGGGCGUGGUGGUGCAUGCCUGUAAUCCCAGAUACUCAGGAGGCUGAGGCAGGAGAAUCGCUUGAACCUGGGAGGCGAAGUUUGCAGUGAGCCGAGAUCGCGCCAUUGCACUCCAGCCUGGUCAACAAGAGUGAAACUCUGUCUCAAAAAAAUAAGAAUAAGACACCAUCCUUGCCCUCAAGAUUCAUACAGUCUGAAGGUAAAGAGGGGACAUAAAUGAAAGAAGUAAUUACAAAACAGUGUGAUUGGUUCUGAAAAGGCAGUGAGUAAACAGUCCUGUUGCAUAAAUAACAGGACAGGCUAGUGUUGCUGUAACCAUGCCACAAUCUUAGUGGCUGAAAACAACAAAGGUUUACUUUUCACCCCUGCUGCAAGUCCAUUGAGGGUUGGCUGGGGGCUCUGCUCUGGCUCAUUUCUUGUCCUCCCUCUGAGA